AUUGAACGCUGGCGGCAGGCCUAACACAUGCAAGUCGAGCGGAUGAUGGGAGCUUGCUCCUGGAUUCAGCGGCGGACGGGUGAGUAAUGCCUAGGAAUCUGCCUGGUAGUGGGGGACAACGUUUCGAAAGGAACGCUAAUACCGCAUACGUCCUACGGGAGAAAGCAGGGGACCUCCGGGCCUUGCGCUAUCAGAUGAGCCUAGGUCGGAUUAGCUAGUAGGUGAGGUAAAGGCUCACCUAGGCGACGAUCCGUAACUGGUCUGAGAGGAGGAUCAGUCACACUGGAACUGAGACACGGUUCAGACUCCUACGGGAGGCAGCAGUGGGGAAUAUUGGACAAUGGGCGAAAGCCUGAUCCAGCCAUGCCGCGUGUGUGAAGAAGGUCUUCGGAUUGUAAAGCACUUUAAGUUGGGAGGAAGGGCAGUAAGUUAAUACCUUGCUGUUUUGACGUUACCGACAGAAUAAGCACCGGCUAACUUCGUGCCAGCCGCCGCGGUAACAC
rnacentral:rRNA from 1 species